rnacentral:rRNA from 1 species
UACAGAGGGUGCAAGCGUUAAUCGGAAUUACUGGGCGUAAAGCGUGCGCAGGCGGCUGCUCAAGUCAGGGGUGAAAGCCCAGAGCUCAACUCUGGAAUUGCCUUUGAGACUGAGUGGCUUGAGUACGGGAGAGGUGAGUGGAAUUCCCAGUGUAGAGGUGAAAUUCGUAGAUAUUGGGAAGAACACCGGUGGCGAAGGCGGCUCACUGGCCCGUAACUGACGCUCAUGCACGACAGCGUGGGGAUCAAACAGG